GAGAUAAUGUGUGAACAUGGCAUUUUGCUUUAUGUAAUCAUAUGUGUCCUUUUGUAUUCUAUUUUCAGUCUUGUUCAUUAGACUCUCAGAUAUUGUAUGAACAUGGCAUUUUUUAUUGAAUAUUUCUUGUUCAUAUAUUUCCGGUCCAGACGUUGUUCAAGUGUACAUCUCUUAUUAGAGAUUCUCGUCAAUGCACUUUCUUGAUGCUGGGUGAGAAAACAUCGUGAUGCUUUUCUUUUCCUUCAUCUGCUCACAUUUUUUUCUUUUUUUGCCUCAAGUAAGUUUUCACAUGUUGAUCUGAUUCUUAUAGAUGGAAUCGAAAAGUUUUUCAAAGUGGUCAACAUUUAUUUGUUGAUUCAUAUAUGUUCUUGCUGCUGGGCAUGCACUGAGAUGCUGAUAAAAAUGUGUAAGGCCAUAACCUUCUCCUCCUAAUUCUCUUCGACUCCGGUAAUGUUGAAAUCCCCACCGAUCGCUUUAUAUUUUUUUUUUCUUUGAUGGCUAUUGAUCAUUGCGGCCAAAAGUAUCAAGUUCCGCUUCGUGUUUGUCAUCCCGAAGAAAGACCCCGUAAGUCUCGACUCUUCAUCUCAGAUUGGUAUUGGAAUUGGUAUGGCUUUAACCUUCUCCUAAUUCUCUUCGACUCCAGUAACAUUCAGAUCCCUACCGAUUGCUUCACAAAUAUUUUCUUUUCUGGGUAUUCAUCGUCAAUUCCAUGGCUGUUGAUGAUUGGGGCCAGAAGAAUUAAGUUCCCAUGCGUGUUUAUUGUCCUCAUCUAGCAACGAGGACAAGAUCAUGACACGGUCAUGCUUUAUAAUAUUUCUUGUUCAUAUCUUGACGGUCCAUACUUCGUUCAAGUGAACAUCUUUUUCUGGGAGAUUCACAAUGCCACUUUCUUGAUGCUGGUAGAAUCGAAAAGUUUGUGGAAGUGGUCAACAGAUAUUUGGUGAUGACUGUAUCAAAAGGGCCCUUAUUUUAUGUUCUUGCUGCUGGGCAUUCACUGACUAUGCCGUCAAAAAUGUCUUCGGCAACAUUACAGAUGGAGGCAAAUGAUAUGAUUUUUUUUUUUUUUUUGCAUAUUAGGCUUGGGAUGUGAGCAAAUGGAACGAUUCCAAGAACAGUAAUUAUUGGAGGAAGAUUUCCAGUAAGAAAUCAUAAAAAUGUUUCAUCUCCUCAUGCCUUUUGAGUCCUGCAAGUCUCGCUUGGUGGAGUAUCCCAAAAUCAGCUAUACAGGCAACAAAGAGGUGGUUCAGGAUAGUAACUCUGUUGUGAAGGACUGAGGAAGAAGAAGUGAAACAACUUGAGCUGAAGUCAAUCUUGGAUUUAUGAAGGAGAUCAGAUCAAGUAAUGAGUGGAAGGAUUGUCAUUUUGGAGUCGUCUCUGGACCUGACAGGCUGUGGCAAGAAUUAACCUGGUCACCAUGUCCUUCGGGCCAAUUGACUGACCCUGUUUCAAGUGAACUGAUUUUGAAGCUUCAAUAGCUAGCUUUUGUUUAGUUUAUUUGCGAACAUAGUGAGGUCUAUUUUGAGUAUUUUUCAGUGGGCAGAACACUUGUAUUCUGAUGGAGAUUGCUGAAACAUUUGUGAAAAUGGCUUGCUAUUGUCUGUUGAGAGACAAUCACUUGUACGAGUUAUGAAUUGAAGUUGUUCUGGAGAAUUUGGCUCCUUAUCAAACAAACUGUAAAAUAUUUUUGAGAUAGUGGAUUUAACCUCCCGACAAGGCUCGGGGAGUGGACGUAGGCACCGAGAUUGGGCCGAACCACUAUAAAUUGAUUGACCAAA